rnacentral:piRNA from 1 species
UGGACUAAGUACUCUUGCCUCUAAGAACCUCU